UACGAAGGGGGCUAGCGUUGCUCGGAAUCACUGGGCGUAAAGGGUGCGUAGGCGGGUCUUUUAAGUCAGGGGUGAAAUCCUGGAGCUCAACUCCAGAACUGCCUUUGAUACUGAAGAUCUUGAGUUCGGGAGAGGUGAGUGGAACUGCGAGUGUAGAGGUGAAAUUCGUAGAUAUUCGCAAGAACACCAGUGGCGAAGGCGGUUACCUGGAGCUUUGCUGACGCUGAUGCGCGAAAGCCAGGGGAGCAAACGGG
rnacentral:rRNA from 1 species